rnacentral:rRNA from 1 species
ACACGUAGGGGCCUGACGUUGUUCGGAAUCAUUGGGCGUAAAGGGCGCGCAGGCGGCCGUCCAAGUCCGGUGUUAAAAGGCCGGGCUCAACCCGAUCAUGCGCUGGAAACCGGGCGGCUUGUGUCCCGUAGGGGAUGCCGGAAUUCAAGGUGAUGGGGUGAAAUCUGUAGAUAUCUGGAAGUACACCGAUGGCGAAGGCAAGCAUCUUGCCAGAGACUGACGCUGAGGCGCGGAGGCGCGGGGAGCGAACAGGUUUAGAUACCCUGGUAGUCGCCGCAAUAAACGAUACGCAGCAGAUGUCGAGCAGCAGCGCCCGUUACCGGAGCUAACGCGAUGAGUACGCCGCCUGGGGAGAAUGCCCGCAAGGGUAAAACUCAAAGGAAUUUACUGGG